GAGGGGAGUGAAAAAGAACCUGAAACCGUGUACGUACAAGCAGUGGGAGCCUCUUAAUGGGGUGACUGCGUACCUUUUGUAUAAUGGGUCAGCGACUUAUAUUCUGUAGCAAGGUUAACCGAAUAGGGGAGCCGAAGGGAAACCGAGUCUUAACUGGGCGUUAAGUUGCAGGGUAUAGACCCGAAACCCGGUGAUCUAGCCAUGGGCAGGUUGAAGGUUGGGUAACACUAACUGGAGGACCGAACCGACUAAUGUUGAAAAAUUAGCGGAUGACUUGUGGCUGGGGGUGAAAGGCCAAUCAAACCGGGAGAUAGCUGGUUCUCCCCGAAAGCUAUUUAGGUAGCGCCUCGUGAAUUCAUCUCCGGGGGUAGAGCACUGUUUCGGCAAGGGGGUCAUCCCGACUUACCAACCCGAUGCAAACUGCGAAUACCGGAGAAUGUUAUCACGGGAGACACACGGCGGGUGCUAACGUCCGUCGUGAAGAGGGAAACAACCCAGACCGCCAGCUAAGGUCCCAAAGUCAUGGUUAAGUGGGAAACGAUGUGGGAAGGCCCAGACAGCCAGGAUGUUGGCUUAGAAGCAGCCAUCAUUUAAAGAAAGCGUAAUAGCUCACUGGUCGAGUCGGCCUGCGCGGAAGAUGUAACGGGGCUAAACCAUGCACCGAAGCUGCGGCAGCGACACUAUGUGUUGUUGGGUAGGGGAGCG
rnacentral:rRNA from 1 species